UUAUCCUGGUUCACCAAACCCGGCUACUUCCAGUCCCCACACUUCGUGUGAGAUUAUCCACUAUAGUAUGCAGUUGGUAGAAACUUCUAACCAACACUAUAAGGUCUUGAUCACACCAGAUCAGUCCGUAACCACUGUAUUAUCAACCUCAGCAGGCUUCUACAAUUCUUUGCUUUCGCACAAGAAAGGUUGGAACUCUUCCUAUCUCAAACUAUUAAGCCCAAUAGACUUGAGAUCUAGUUAUCUCUUUGUAAGGUGAUUGUUUGGAUCGAAUGUCUCAAACAAAAAUAAGAAAGAUGUUGUUUGGAUCUAGCGUCUCAAACAAAAGAUGUGUAGGAUGUUGUUUGGAACUUUAUAUGUCAAACAAACUAUC
rnacentral:lncRNA from 1 species